UACGAACCGUCCAAACGUUAUUCGGAAUCACUGGGCUUAAAGGGUGCGUAGGCGGCUUGUUAAGUUGGGUGUGAAAUACCUCGGCUCAACCGAGGAAUUGCGCUCAAAACUAGCAAGCUCGAGGGAGACAGAGGUGAGCGGAACUUAGGGUGGAGCGGUGAAAUGCGUUGAUAUCCUAAGGAACACCGGUGGCGAAAGCGGCUCACUGGGUCUCUUCUGACGCUGAGGCACGAAAGCUAGGGGAG
rnacentral:rRNA from 1 species